rnacentral:rRNA from 1 species
UCAGGAUGAACGCUAGCGACAGGCCUAACACAUGCAAGUCAGGGGCAGCACAAGGAGCAAUCUGAGGUGGCGACCGGCGCACGGGUGAGUAACACGUAUGCAACCUGCCUGUAAGCGGGGAAUAACCCGUUGAAAGACGGACUAAUACCGCAUAAUACUAAAUUACUGCAUGGUAAUUUAUUUAAACAUUUAUGGCUUACAGAUGGGCAUGCGCAUGAUUAGCUAGUUGGAGAGGUAACGGCUCCCCAAGGCAACGAUCAUUAGGGGUUCUGAGAGGAAGGUCCCCCCACACUGGUACUGAGACACGGACCAGACUCCUACGGGAGGCAGCAGUGAGGAAUAUUGGUCAAUGGACGAGAGUCUGAACCAGCCAAGUCGCGUGCAGGAAGAAUGUCCUAUGGAUUGUAAACUGCUUUUGCAGGGGAAUAAAGUGCAUCACGUGUGAUGUUUUGUAUGUACUCUGCGAAUAAGGAUCGGCUAACUCCGUGCCAGCCGCCGC